rnacentral:hammerhead_ribozyme from 1 species
AUCCAGCUCAAGAGUCCCAAAUAGGACGAAACGCACAUCCUAGAU